rnacentral:rRNA from 1 species
CACGCAGGCGGUUUGUUAAGUCAGAUGUGAGAUCCCCGGGCUCAACCUGGGAACUGCAUCUGAUACUGGCAAGCUUGAGUCUCGUAGAGGGGGGUAGAAUUCCAGGUGUAGCGGUGAAAUGCGUAGAGAUCUGGAGGAAUACCGGUGGCGAAGGCGGCCCCCUGGACGAAGACUGACGCUCAGGUGCGAAAGCGUGGGGAGCAAACA